rnacentral:rRNA from 1 species
GAUGAACGCUGGCGGCGUGCUUAACACAUGCAAGUCGAACGGAAAGGCCAGUGCUUGCACUGGUACUCGAGUGGCGAACGGGUGAGUAACACGUGGGUGAUCUGCCCUGCACUUCGGGAUAAGCCUGGGAAACUGGGUCUAAUACCGGAUAGGACAAUGGUUUGGAUGCCGUUGUGGAAAGUUUUUUCGGUGUGGGAUGAGCUCGCGGCCUAUCAGCUUGUUGGUGGGGUAAUGGCCUACCAAGGCGUCGACGGGUAGCCGGCCUGAGAGGGUGUACGGCCACAUUGGGACUGAGAUACGGCCCAGACUCCUACGGGGGGCAGCAGUGGGGAAUAUUGGACAAUGGGCGCAAGCCUGAUGCAGCGACGCCGCGUGGGGGAUGACGGCCUUCGGGUUGUAAACUCCUUUCGCUAGGGACGAAGCGUAUUUGUGACGGUACCUGGAGAAGAAGCACCGGCUAACUACGUG